rnacentral:lncRNA from 1 species
UGUAUUGUCAUUGGCUGAUGCAUUGGUUGAUGUUCUAUAGAUUGACAGUUAAGGCAACCAAGAGCUCCUUAACAGAGUUAGUUUUUGGCUUUUUGCUCCUCCUCAGGUGAAUAAUGGAAGCACUUGUAGGUAAGUAUGAGAUAUGUUCUUCAGCUUGAACCUAGGAUCCAAUACCAAUGCAACCAACAACAACUGAUUCAUGUCUUCAAUACGUCCAAAAUAUUUUCUAAACUUGGCAAACAUCUUUUCUGCCAUCUUCAACAUCAGCAAUUCAACUUCACUUCUAGUUCCAGAGUAGGCGCAAAAAGUGCAUUAAUCUCCCCUUCUAUUGCUACAAUGUCAUGAAAUGCUUUAUGAGCAGUGGGGUGUCUAGUCAUACUCAUCCUCAUUGUCACAUCAUCAAAAACCCUUAAGAUCAACACAAAUAUUUCAGCAUUUUCCCAAUCCUCAUCUUGUGGUGGUCCAACUCUUGUUUUUCUUGUUCUUGGUGUCACCGGAACAUACUCUUGUUCUUCUUCCUCAUCGAGCUCAUCUUCUUCAUCAAAAUAGCUUCUAUACUUGUUCAUUUCAUCUGCAGCGAUCCUUUCAUUUCCUCUAAAAGGGCUCACUCCGGUUCGCUUCAGGUAAGGAGAAAUUAGAGGUGGAAGUUCUAGGGUGUUUUAGAUGUUUUUGCUCGUUUGACCUAGUUAGGCUUGGAUUUUGGGUUUGUGCUAGUUAGGAAAGUUGUAGAGGGAGUGGAGAGGAAGCUACUGUUAAAAUUUGGUAGGAUUUGGAGGUCGCCGGAAUCGGCCUCCGGCCGCCGCUGCUGGCGGAGCCGCCGCCGGCGCCGCCACUGUGUAGAAGAUUUUUGUGGUUUUAAAUGUGGAUUAUUAAGAGGAGUAUUUUGAUAUGAAUUAUGGAAUUUUUGGAUGAGUUUUGGAGAGGUUUGUGAAUUUCUGAAGUUUGGUAUUUUUGGCAGUUAAUUAAGGUAGAAUUCGGCCAUUGGAUUAAAGUCGUAUAAUCUGUGAAGAUUGUGUUAAAGCUGCCAUUAUUUUUUGGUGAAGUUUGGAGCAUUUUGAAUUAGGAAUAUUGAAG